rnacentral:lncRNA from 1 species
UACCUGCGCCUGUGGGCGCUGUCGCUCGCGCAUGCGCAGCUCGCUGAGGUCGCAUGGAACAUGCUGCUCAGGAAAGGUAAUGUACCUGCGCCUGUGGGCGCUGUCGCUCGCGCAUGCGCAGCUCGCUGAGGUCGCAUGGAACAUGCUGCUCAGGAAAGGUAAUGUACCUGCGCCUGUGGGCGCUGUCGCUCGCGCAUGCGCAGCUCGCUGAGGUCGCAUGGAACAUGCUGCUCAGGAAAGGUAAUGUACCUGCGCCUGUGGGCGCUGUCGCUCGCGCAUGCGCAGCUCGCUGAGGUCGCAUGGAACAUGCUGCUCAGGAAAGGUAAUGUACCUGCGCCUGUGGGCGCUGUCGCUCGCGCAUGCGCAGCUCGCUGAGGUCGCAUGGAACAUGCUGCUCAGGAAAGGUAAUGUACCUGCGCCUGUGGGCGCUGUCGCUCGCGCAUGCGCAGCUCGCUGAGGUCGCAUGGAACAUGCUGCUCAGGAAAGGUAAUGUACCUGCGCCUGUGGGCGCUGUCGCUCGCGCAUGCGCAGCUCGCUGAGGUCGCAUGGAACAUGCUGCUCAGGAAAGGUAAUGUACCUGCGCCUGUGGGCGCUGUCGCUCGCGCAUGCGCAGCUCGCUGAGGUCGCAUGGAACAUGCUGCUCAGGAAAGGUAAUGUACCUGCGCCUGUGGGCGCUGUCGCUCGCGCAUGCGCAGCUCGCUGAGGUCGCAUGGAACAUGCUGCUCAGGAAAGGUAAUGUACCUGCGCCUGUGGGCGCUGUCGCUCGCGCAUGCGCAGCUCGCUGAGGUCGCAUGGAACAUGCUGCUCAGGAAAGGUAAUGUACCUGCGCCUGUGGGCGCUGUCGCUCGCGCAUGCGCAGCUCGCUGAGGUCGCAUGGAACAUGCUGCUCAGGAAAGGUAAUGUACCUGCGCCUGUGGGCGCUGUCGCUCGCGCAUGCGCAGCUCGCUGAGGUCGCAUGGAACAUGCUGCUCAGGAAAGGUAAUGUACCUGCGCCUGUGGGCGCUGUCGCUCGCGCAUGCGCAGCUCGCUGAGGUCGCAUGGAACAUGCUGCUCAGGAAAGGUAAUGUACCUGCGCCUGUGGGCGCUGUCGCUCGCGCAUGCGCAGCUCGCUGAGGUCGCAUGGAACAUGCUGCUCAGGAAAGGUAAUGUACCUGCGCCUGUGGGCGCUGUCGCUCGCGCAUGCGCAGCUCGCUGAGGUCGCAUGGAACAUGCUGCUCAGGAAAGGUAAUGUACCUGCGCCUGUGGGCGCUGUCGCUCGCGCAUGCGCAGCUCGCUGAGGUCGCAUGGAACAUGCUGCUCAGGAAAGGUAAUGUACCUGCGCCUGUGGGCGCUGUCGCUCGCGCAUGCGCAGCUCGCUGAGGUCGCAUGGAACAUGCUGCUCAGGAAAGGUAAUGUACCUGCGCCUGUGGGCGCUGUCGCUCGCGCAUGCGCAGCUCGCUGAGGUCGCAUGGAACAUGCUGCUCAGGAAAGGUAAUGUACCUGCGCCUGUGGGCGCUGUCGCUCGCGCAUGCGCAGCUCGCUGAGGUCGCAUGGAACAUGCUGCUCAGGAAAGGUAAUGUACCUGCGCCUGUGGGCGCUGUCGCUCGCGCAUGCGCAGCUCGCUGAGGUCGCAUGGAACAUGCUGCUCAGGAAAGGUAAUGUACCUGCGCCUGUGGGCGCUGUCGCUCGCGCAUGCGCAGCUCGCUGAGGUCGCAUGGAACAUGCUGCUCAGGAAAGGUAAUGUACCUGCGCCUGUGGGCGCUGUCGCUCGCGCAUGCGCAGCUCGCUGAGGUCGCAUGGAACAUGCUGCUCAGGAAAGGUAAUGUACCUGCGCCUGUGGGCGCUGUCGCUCGCGCAUGCGCAGCUCGCUGAGGUCGCAUGGAACAUGCUGCUCAGGAAAGGUAAUGUACCUGCGCCUGUGGGCGCUGUCGCUCGCGCAUGCGCAGCUCGCUGAGGUCGCAUGGAACAUGCUGCUCAGGAAAGGUAAUGUACCUGCGCCUGUGGGCGCUGUCGCUCGCGCAUGCGCAGCUCGCUGAGGUCGCAUGGAACAUGCUGCUCAGGAAAGGUAAUGUACCUGCGCCUGUGGGCGCUGUCGCUCGCGCAUGCGCAGCUCGCUGAGGUCGCAUGGAACAUGCUGCUCAGGAAAGGUAAUGUACCUGCGCCUGUGGGCGCUGUCGCUCGCGCAUGCGCAGCUCGCUGAGGUCGCAUGGAACAUGCUGCUCAGGAAAGGUAAUGUACCUGCGCCUGUGGGCGCUGUCGCUCGCGCAUGCGCAGCUCGCUGAGGUCGCAUGGAACAUGCUGCUCAGGAAAGGUAAUGUACCUGCGCCUGUGGGCGCUGUCGCUCGCGCAUGCGCAGCUCGCUGAGGUCGCAUGGAACAUGCUGCUCAGGAAAGGUAAUGUACCUGCGCCUGUGGGCGCUGUCGCUCGCGCAUGCGCAGCUCGCUGAGGUCGCAUGGAACAUGCUGCUCAGGAAAGGUAAUGUACCUGCGCCUGUGGGCGCUGUCGCUCGCGCAUGCGCAGCUCGCUGAGGUCGCAUGGAACAUGCUGCUCAGGAAAGGUAAUGUACCUGCGCCUGUGGGCGCUGUCGCUCGCGCAUGCGCAGCUCGCUGAGGUCGCAUGGAACAUGCUGCUCAGGAAAGGUAAUGUACCUGCGCCUGUGGGCGCUGUCGCUCGCGCAUGCGCAGCUCGCUGAGGUCGCAUGGAACAUGCUGCUCAGGAAAGGUAAUGUACCUGCGCCUGUGGGCGCUGUCGCUCGCGCAUGCGCAGCUCGCUGAGGUCGCAUGGAACAUGCUGCUCAGGAAAGGUAAUGUCUACUGCAUAGAUUUCUUAUGUAGAACGGCGGAUAAUUGUAUUGCAGUGUAUUCAAGAAAAUAGGGAUGAGGGCAGGAGGAUGAUAGAAAGUAUCUAUGACUAAAAAAUACCGGAAAACAGUCUUCUUCAAGUACCACCGAGAGCUGUUCGGCUGGGCAGUAAAAAAAAAUAUUUCAAAAUAAUUUGAUCUCCUUAAUACGAGAAAACUUACUUCAAGGCUGCCAGUAGGUAUGUUUCUAACGUGGUGAAAGAUA